GUUACCAUAAAUCUUAUAUAAAAGACUGACAGAUUUUUCAUUUUCAACUUGCAAGAAGUCUAACUUCUCGUUUAAUUCACGGGAGGUACUCAACAUUGACUCAUGGCGAGCAGUUUCAACUUGACCCUGCAAUGCCUCAAUCACAUUGAUAGCAGCAUCAAUAGAUGCAGCAGUACGACUACUUAAGUUUAUGCACCCUGGAUCAUGGUCUACUCUUGAAGGCAAAGAGGAGCCAACGGACUCAACAGAUAAAUCUAGCCUCCGCAGUGUCUGAAGAAUCUGAUCAAUUGUAGAGUUCCAUUCUUCUUGGAGUAUUAAUCCUCUGUCAGAAACUUCCUUGUAAAGACCUUCUACCUGAUUAGAGAUGCAAGAGCCCAUUUCUUUGCAGCUUUCACGCAUUUCACCCAGCUGGUUCUGCAAAAUAGGAAGUUUUUCCUGAAUGCUACUAAGAUUCUCCCUUAACCGACUGUUCUCAGCUUUUGUAGCGACAUCUUGCUUGUGUAAAGCUUCAUUAAGGACCCCAAGCUCUCCCUCCCUUUCUUUAGCAUUCGAGAAACAUCCCCCUAAACUUUCAUUGAAAACCAUUUGCUCAAUGUUUUCUCCUCCCAAAAUAUCAAUGUAUUCAUUCAGAGAGUCACAUUUGGC
rnacentral:misc_RNA from 1 species